rnacentral:rRNA from 1 species
AGUGAACGCUGGCGGUAGGCCUAACACAUGCAAGUCGAACGGCAGCACAGUAAGAGCUUGCUCUUACGGGUGGCGAGUGGCGGACGGGUGAGGAAUACAUCGGAAUCUACUUUUUCGUGGGGGAUAACGUAGGGAAACUUACGCUAAUACCGCAUACGACCUACGGGUGAAAGCAGGGGAUCUUCGGACCUUUCGCGAUUGAAUGAGCCGAUGUCGGAUUAGCUAGUUGGCGGGGUAAAGGCCCACCAAGGCGACGAUCCGUAGCUGGUCCGAGAGGAUGAUCAGCCACACUGGAACUGAGACACGGUCCAGACUCCUACGGGAGGCAGCAGUGGGGAAUAUUGGACAAUGGGCGCAAGCCUGAUCCAGCCAUGCCGCGUGGGUGAAGAAGGCCUUCGGGUUGUAAAGCCCUGUUGUUGGGAAAGAAAAGCAGCAGGUUAAUACCCCGCUGUUCUGACGGUACCCAAAGAAUAAGCACCGGCUAACUUCGUG